UACGUAGGGGGCAAGCGUUAUCCGGAUUUACUGGGUGUAAAGGGAGCGUAGACGGCGAAGCAAGUCUGAUGUGAAACCCCGCGGCUCAACUGCGGGCAUGCAUUGGAAACUGUUUUGCUUGAGUACUGGAGGGGCAGGCGGAAUUCCUGGUGUAGCGGUGAAAUGCGUAGAUAUCAGGAGGAACACCGGUGGCGAAGGCGGCCUGCUGGACAGUAACUGACGUUGAGGCUCGAAAGCGUGGGGAGCAAAC
rnacentral:rRNA from 1 species